AAGAUAUUAGUAAAACAGGUUAUUACACCGCUUUGUCAAGGCCGAAUUGUGGGUUAAAAUCCCGCGUAUCUUA
rnacentral:tRNA from 1 species